UACGAGGGGUGCAAGCGUUGCUCGGAAUUAUUGGGCGUAAAGGGUUGGUAGGUGGUCUUGUUUGUCUAGGGUGAAAUCCCAUGGCUUAACUGUGGAAGUGCCCUAGAAACGGCAAGACUAGAGUCCUAGAGGGGUUUGCGGAAUUCCCGGUGUAGCGGUGAAAUGCGUAGAGAUCGGGAGGAACACCAGCGGCGAAGGCGGCAAACUGGAUAGGCACUGACACUCAACAACGAAAGCGUGGGGAGCAAACAGGG
rnacentral:rRNA from 1 species